GGUUAUAAUGGCGUCAGUCUCGUGGGUUGUAUGGUAAAGCAUACAGAGUGAAUCUUUUAAUGUUUUUUUUUUUAUUUUAGCGCCCAAAACAAUUUUCUGGGAUCGUGUUGAAUACUACUUGACCUACUUCAUUAUGUUUGAAGGCUGGAAUCAGGGAAAUUAAAGAUAAUUGUGCGUCAAUGACGAUUCCGUGGAGAAUUAGAAAUUUGGUUGCAUCCAACCUGAACAUUUUUUAAUCACGGUAAAGAUGAUAAUGACAACAAAUAACACUGGAUAAUACAGUAGCUCAAGUAUGGCCAAAUUAAUCUAGAUGAUGGUACCUGGGUAAUUGUGGUUGACAUCUGUCAGAUUGGAGAAGUGUGGCUUUUGGACUCCAACAAGACUACAAACUAACACACUCCGAUUGAUACACUGUUAAGACAAGAAGAUAAAUGAAGAAAAUGAAUGGGAUAGAAACUUACAGAUGCUUGAAAGAAAACCAUUCUAAGGAGGAGGUCAAGGAACAUGAAAUGCUUCAAACCUUUGAAACGCAAAUAUUUAAAAAAUUGACACGAGUGGUUUUGGAGGAAGAGAAUACUCCUAGGAUCCGGAUGUGAGAGAAGGACAAAAGACAACGGAAGGUCCAAGAAAGGUCAAUGAAAAGGAGGGAGAAAUUUGCUAUCAUUCCGAAUUGUCUCGUGUAGUGCUCUUACUGUAAACUGAAACUGGU
rnacentral:lncRNA from 1 species